rnacentral:misc_RNA from 1 species
GAUGAAGAACGUAGCGAAAUGCGAUAAGUAGUGUGAAUUGCAGAAUUCAGUGAAUCAUCGAAUCUUUGAACGCACAUUGCGCCUCCUGGUAUUCCGGGAGGCAUGCCUGUUCGAGCGUCAUUUCAACCAUCAAGCCCCCGGGCUUGCGUUGGGGCCCUGCGGCUGCCGCAGACCCCUAAAACCAGUGGCGGGCUCGCUGUCACACCGAGCGCAGUAGCAAUAUCUCGCUCUGGGCGUGGCGCGGGUGCUUGCCGUAAAACACACCACUUAACAAGGUUGACCUCGGAUCAGGUAGGAAUACCCGCUGAACUUAAGCAUAUCAAUAAGCGGAGGA